ensembl:snoRNA U3 Small nucleolar RNA U3
AAGACUAUACUUUCAGGGAUCAUUUCUCUAGUUCAAUACUACAGACGUUUCUCUGAAGGUGUAGCAAGCACCAGAAAUCACGAGGAAAGUGCAGUAUUCUCUCCCAAGUGUGAUGCCGCCCGUCUCUUGAUGUUGCUUUGCUCAGCUGCCAUUCGGCAUUGAUGAUUGUUUUAUCCUUCCUUAGGGAGAGUAAGAGGGAAAGGAUGCAGUCCAAGUGGC